UUUCUGGUGGUUCAGAAGGUAAAGAAUCUGCCUGCAAUGCAGGAGACCUGGGUUCAAUCCCUGGGCCAGGGAA
rfam:Ovis aries breed Texel chromosome 2, whole genome shotgun sequence.